rnacentral:lncRNA from 13 species
UCAAAAUAGCAUCUAUGCUUCACAGACUUACUAGCCCAUUCAUUGAGGAUAAUGCUUGUGAGGCUUAUCUGGAUUAUAACAUAUAAUUCUACAGUGAGCUAUUUUUAAUGCAUUUGUAAGCAAUUGGACUAUUGAAAUUUGAGUGUAUUUCUAUGAUACACUCUAUUUAGAAAUGAAGAAACAAAAGACAAAAUCUACACUGAACGCAGCUGCCAAAAUAAUUUGACAUUGAGAAUGCUGUAGCUAUAAACAUGAGAUAAACAUGAGAUAAAAAUGCAAAACAGUCUAAUGUUUAAUUCAUCAUGACUCUAAUUUUCUGCAAACAGAAAGGUCGAAUAUAGAAUGACCUUUCUCUCAUUUCUAGUCAGGAAGCAUAGUGUUAGCACCAUGCAGGUCUUCAAAUUCAUUUCAUCCUGAGGAAGACUUACCUCAGGAAUUCAUCAUUAAAUCUGUAAGGAACUGGGUUUCGUAAUCCAAUAUAUUUUCUUUGCAGAUUUUUAUUUUCUAUUUGGGAAUAAUAAAAUUUGGAAGUGUUAUAUAUAGAAACCACCUUCUCUUUAAUCUCUUCGUUGAUUUUUGAAUGGCAUUUACUGGUAACAAAUUGUGUAAAUGUGUGAAUGUGUCUGGGGGUGUGUGUAUACGUGUGUAACUGUGUAACUGCUUUCAAUCAAUUUUUAAAGAACAUUCAUUAUUCUAAGUAAUUGCCUUAAAUACUUAAAUUCUGUAUUGAUCCGUAGGUCUGCAGCUCAAUUUGGCUUCAAUUAGUGCUACUAUUCUUGUCUACCUUUCUACACAAUUGCAAGUUUGAUAUAAGGAAAUAAUGAAAAUUCCCAGAGCAGCCACUACCGUUGUUCUCAGAGAUGGGGUCUCACUAUGUUGACCAGGCUUGCAUGCAGUGGAUAGUCACAGAGAAUGUGCCAUCUAGGAAUUUCUUGAAGCAAUUCAUUUGAAAAAA